ACUCUCUCUCUCUCUGUUUCUUUCUUUCCCUUGACCUUAAUCCUACCAGUAACCUCUUUCAUCUCCAGAACCUGACGAUGUCCAUCGAGACGCUCGCUCAUCUGCCGCCGUAGUGAGGGUCGUUUCCACUCGGCCUACCUUGCUCUCUUUGAUAGCUGGUUUCUCUAUCGUACUGCCCGAUUCGGUGCUUGCGAUUUGCUCUGAGUUGAUCGAUCUGAGAAUGGAGGCGAAGGAGGCAUCGGCCGCACCAGGGGCAGCAGCCUUGCCCGAGACCAAGGAUGGUCCGGUGAGUGACGAAGGACAUCCGCUAGAUGCUGAGAGUUUGGCCAAGGCGGCUGCCUUCCUGUUCCAGAGCUCCCGACUCCAGGACUGCUUACAUGUGUUGAAUCAACUCCUACAGAAGAAGCAGGACGAUCCGAAGGAACAAAGUGAAUUACUUGCUUGUUCUUCUCGAGGAUAGAUCGAAUCUGGUAAUAAUAGUGAGAAUAAUGUGUCAAGAUCUAAAGUGAAUAUUGCUUCGCUUCAUCAACUUUCUGCAAUAAAUAGUGGCAGAAUUGUUAAUGCAGAAGAGUUUGACACUUCAGUAACACUGUUGAACAUUGUACAUAGUUCUGCAUCUACUUCUUGACCAAAACUUCCUUUUUCCAGGGUCAUUGAAUGCAAAUCAAAUACUGUUCAUAACUUCAUAUAGUGACACUAUGCUUGCUCCAUUUUGGUGAACUACAGGCUGUUGUUCUCUACCAUGUCCAUGAAUAUGCACGUGCAUUAUUUCUCCUAGAAACAUUAUAUCAGAACAUUGAGCCCAUCGAUGAGGUUUCGUCACUUAGUCAUCUUAUGUGUCCAUGUGAUGUUCUUUUUUUUUUCAACCAGUGGUUUGUACCUUGCAGAGAAUUGUUCUUCAUGUGUGCCUCCUGCUACUGGAUGUUUGCAUUAGCCUGCCGAGAUGCUUCAAACGCUGCAGUGGUCCUAUAGUGAUCGUGGCUCUUGUCACAAAUUACCCGAGGAAACGGGGAGCUCAAGUGGAUCAACAACAACAACAAAGGCGUAAUGUGUCAACACUUCGGGGUUGACUGAAUACAUCUUUUAUUGUCAUGGUGCUCCAUAGAAAAUCAUAUUUUUAGUGAGUAUUUAACUUCCCAUUUAUAGUUCCUAGUAAAGUAUUUUUGUCUCCCUCUAUCUUUCCUCGUAACACUCAUAGUAAUUGUUUCUCCUCUUUAAGCACAAUAUCAACAUGUUUCCUUAGCAUAUGUUCAUACCAACUUAGACCAUUCUCUCUCAACCACACUUAAUUGUUCACAAAUAAAAAAAAUAUUUUUUUUUCUAGUAACACUACACAUCCACCUCAACAUUCUCAUUUAAGCGAUAUAGUUUUUUGUGUAUGUCAUUUUUUAAUUGUCCAACUUUUGGAACUAACAAAAUGCUUCUCUUAAUAUAAGAGAUACUUGAUGAUAACAUACGGCUCCUGACGUUCCUCACAAUUUUAAUCACCCAUUUUUUUAUUAUGAAUGUUAUUUUCAUCAAUAAUAAUCAAUCCAAGAUACCUAAAGCUUUUAAGCAGUAUAUCUAACAUUUGUGCUGUUUUUUUGUGGGAUUUGCAUGUGAUGGACCUAGAAGUGUUUUGGGUUAAGCUCAUGAGAAUGCUUGAGUUUUGAAAUAUUUGGUUCUUGAUAACGAUCUUGAAAUCCUGAUAUUGAGUGAAUCCCUAAAUUCUUGUAGUACCACGAGGAACUCGUUUCUUUUUUCUGCUGACACCUGUUGAAAUAUUUGGUACCUGAUAAUGAUCUUGAAAUCCUGAUCUUGAGUGACUCCCUAAAUUCUUGUAGUACCACAAGGAACUCGUUUUUUUUUUCUGCUGAAACCUGUUGAAAUAUUUGGUACCGGAUAAUGAUCUUGAAAUCCUGAUGUUGAGUGAAUCCCUAAAUUCUUGUAGUACCACGAGGAACUCGUUUCUUUAUUCUGCUGAAACCUGUUGAAAUAUUUGGUACCUGAUAACAAUCUUGAAAUCCUGCUGUUGAGUGAAUCCCUAUAUUCUUGUAGUACCACAAGGAAUUUCUUUCUUUUUUUCUACUGAAACCUGUGUCCUCAGAUAAUUGGGAUUGUUUAUUCUAUAUUCUGUCCUUGUGUGCUUGGACAAUGUGAUUGUUGUUGUACUGCAUAGAACUGCAUAGUUGGUUUGAUAGCUUCGUAUUAGUAAUCCCACAGCACUGCUCUAUGUUGGAUCAGGAAACUUUUCAAAAUCUAUUUGGAAUUUCGGCUCCCCUGUCAUAAUAGGUGUUGGGACUUCUAUGGCCUUGUUUUUGUUGUUUUAGUGUGUCAUAAUAGACUUCCACAACAUGUGCUUCUUGGUAUGCUGCUCCACGGCUUCCUUGACACUAUAUCCGUCUUAGGUUAAAAUGCCGAGAGAUAUUGCAUGGACAGGUACUUUGUGGUAUUUUAGUUGGUGCUAACGAUUUGAUCUUGAAACUAAUGGUAGUACUCAUUUUCAUGUUAAAUGAAUAAACAGAUGUCGUUCUUGCUGACUUUUUAAUGUGAAAUGCAUCACAUGCUCUGGAAAGGUGACUGUUUCCUUGUUGUUCUAAUUUGUGAUGGUGGGACUCAUAUGUGCAGAAUUUUAUCUAGUGUUGUAGUCUUUAUGUGUUCUACUUUGCUAUGUUGAACAUCUUAUUCCUUUGUUUCAUGCAUUAGGGCAAGGAGAAAGUGGAAGCAACAUUCAACCUCAGUCUAACCAUGGAUUAAAAUUUUCUGGUAUAAAUAACAUCCCUGCUUCAAAUGUGUGCAGUACAGAUUUUAGUGGCAGCAUAAAUGCUCAAGAAAGUGCUUUGACAAGAACUUUAUCAGAUGAGACACUAGAAUAUGAGACUUUAUGUUCAACAUUGGAUAGUGGUACUUAUAACUUGGAGAGACCUACUACUAAUGCUAACUCAAAAUUAGCAGCUGUAGCUUCUGCCGUUGAUUUAAAGCUAAAUUUGCAUCUUUACAAGGUCCGACUACUGCUGCUUACAAGGAACCUGAAGGCUGCAAUGCCGGAAAUUAAGCUCGCUAUGAACAUAGCACGCUUUGGGGAUUCAUCUGUCACUUUUGUUAAAGUCUCAGUUAGAAUAUGCUCGUGGAAACCGUCGAAAGGCUAUAAAACUAUUGAUGACAUCCAGUAGCAGGUGUGAUCCAGGAAUGCUUUGUAUAUUCAACAACAAUAUGGGGUGCAUAUAUCACCAGCUUGGGAAACAUCAUACUUCAGCGUUGUUUUUCUCUAAAGCAUUAAAAUGCAGCGAGUCUCUUCGGUGUAAGAAAUCCCCUGAAGCUUUCUACUUUUUCUCAAGAUAAAUCACUAUAUAUACUAUACAACUGUGGUUUGCAAUACUUGCUAUGUGGAAGGCCAUUGGUUGCAGCUCGGUGUUUUGAUAAAACCUGGCCAAUCUUUUACAACAUUUGAAUGCUGCUUGUCAGCUAUGGAGAAAGGUCUUCUAAGGAAAAAUGGUUCAUCAUUUGAGGGUGAGGAGGUUAAAGUUCAUAUAGUUGGAUUGGGUAGAUGGAGAAGAUUGUUGACUGAUGAGUAAUGGUGACUGUACAGUCAACUUCAUAUACUGAAUAAAAGUGAAAUGAUACAGUCAACUUCUUCACUCUCUAGGAAGGAAGCAGAUGAUUCCAACAAGGCAACUUCUGCAAGUGCCAAGAACUUGAACCACAAGAAUAUAUUGGUUGGUGAUUCAAAAGCAUCUAAUGCAACAUCGGCCUCCAUACCUGCUAGUAAUGGUGACUUCAAAGAAACUAAGACAGGUAUGAUCUUGAGCACUACGUUGGACAGCUC